ACAGAUUUGCAGGGUUGGGUGGUAGAUCAUUGGGUUUUAGAUUUGAAGAUUUCUCAGCGGAGAAGGAAGAAGAGGAGAGAGGGGGGCGAGAGUGGGAGCAGACUGUUGCUUCCCCUAGGUGAUAUUUCCUUUUUUUCCUCCCCUAAAGGCAUCUGUGAAGUCCUGUGAAAGAAAACUUCCUGCAAUCCCAUAUUUCCCACCAGUUGUUGAAAACCUACUCAGAUGGAGGUCCUGGAAAACUGGGGAAGCAAGGACAGAGGACACCUUCUCAGGCAAAGCCGCAUCCC
rnacentral:lncRNA from 1 species